CACGCUUUCAAAAUUAUUUUAUGAUAACGCGGAAAGAAGUAACCGAUUGGUAGCAAAGACAGCGAUUAUUAUAUUGAGUAUAAAAUCGGGCCACUAUUUACUGGCUAUCGCAAAUUUCUCGUCGACUAUCUUCUAACAAGACCCAUUGUAGACUAAAUAAAAUUAUAAGACAAGAUGUUCAAGUUUACGUUUCUGAUGAUAGCUAUUGCAGUCAUCAUGGUGGCUGAUGUUUCUGCCCGUUGUAAAAGAGCAAUGAAAAAAUGUGAAACUGAAGAUGAAUGCUGCAACAAACGUUGUGAGAAAUUAGGUGAAGAACAGGUUUGUUACCCAACAGAUGAAGAAAUUGAAAGAUUGGGGCUAACAGAGCUCAAGAGUAGAAAUUAAAAAUGAACUAAUGCAGUAUCAACUUUAAAAACGAGCUCUGCGAAUUCAAAAUUAUAAAAGUAACUUUCAUUCUGUAAUUUUUUAAUUUUAUGAGCUGUUCAAAAUAUACGAGUUUUCAUUUUGAAAAAUUUUUUCCUUCAAAAA